UGCAUACCAGGCUGUAUCCUGUGGAGAUAAGCAGAGCCCUGAAGUCAUCGGAGUCCAUGCUGCCUGUCUGCUUCUGCUCCCAGGACGCAGGCAUAGCAGAGGAGACCAGGCCCAGAGUAGGCAAGAGGGGCCGCCCCAAGUGCACAGCGGGCAGACAAGACAGUGGCAGGAGCAGGGAGACAGGAGGCCCCAAGAGACCAGGCCCAGAACAAGGCCUGACACUGGAGAUAAGAGGUGGACCACCUGGGAGACGGAACACUGGCCCUGCCACCCCUGCUGUGGGGCAGGAGGCUUAGCCACAAAGGCAAGCUUGCAACUCCCUGCUCCAAACUGCUUUCUCCCAAGCGUGAGAACCAGAAGUAGCAGGGGCCCUCUGACAAGAGCAAUGCCAAAAACCUGCUGGCCAGAGCAUUCCCCAUGAAGGGGCCUCAGCUACUUGGGACACUACUGUGCACAGGGCCAGGCACAGGGAGGCACUGGCAGUUUCCUGAGGGCUUUCAGGCCCCUGGGAUCUGGAGUCUCAGCCAUGGCGUGGGUCCCAACUGAGAGCCAGGGACGUGAUGGAAUUCUACAUUCUGAGCCAAAUGGACAGGCAGCUGCUGGGCUGCCGAGAGGCAGGAGGUGACACUGCCCUUUUAGGAGAAGCCAUCCUGCGGCAGCCGGGGCCCUGGGAAGGAAGCUGUGGGCUGUGCAGGAAGCGAGAUGAAGCUAGCAGGGUGUCUGGUAGUCACUGAGCAGUCUGUGGGUCAGGCAGUAGAGGCAGGAGGCAGCUCUCUGGCCUGGGCUGGCCUUUAAUAAGUGAGCUGGGGAACACAGACCCAUCUAACAUGGGCUCCUCAGCAUGAAGCCCACAGCCACAACCGUGUGGGAGCGGAGAGGCAGACUGAACACGGUGCAGGGAGGAGGGGGACAGGAUGGGGGUUGGCUGUGUUCCAGGAUGACUGAUCUUUGAUGACCCAGAAAGCAGCCCUCUGUUAGUAACCACUGAGGCCAGAGCAGACUGGGCACUAAGGAGGACAUGGCACCAAGUGUGCCUUGUGGCCUGGGGCUGGAUAAACCUAAAGUGGCACUUCUGACACACAGGAAAAGGACUGAUACAUACAACCUACAUAAUAGAGGUACUGUGUGCACAGGUACAUGCAUGAGUCUGAGAGCCAUGCAAGAUGAGCGGGACCAGGAGGCCCAUACC